rnacentral:tRNA from 1 species
GGGGGACGAUCCGGCGAUCAGCGGGUCUCUAAAACCUAGCCAGCGGGGAUCGACACCCCGGUCUCUCGCCA